AUUGAACGCUGGCGGCAUGCCUUACACAUGCAAGUCGAACGGCAGCAUGAUCUAGCUUGCUAGAUUGAUGGCGAGUGGCGAACGGGUGAGUAAUACAUCGGAACGUGCCCUGUAGUGGGGGAUAACUAGUCGAAAGAUUAGCUAAUACCGCAUACGACCUGAGGGUGAAAGUGGGGGACCGCAAGGCCUCAUGCUAUAGGAGCGGCCGAUGUCUGAUUAGCUAGUUGGUGAGGUAAAGGCUCACCAAGGCGACGAUCAGUAGCUGGUCUGACAGGACGAUCAGCCACACUGGGACUGAGACACGGCCCAGACUCCUACGGGAGGCAGCAGUGGGGAAUUUUGGACAAUGGGGGCAACCCUGAUCCAGCAAUGCCGCGUGUGUGAAGAAGGCCUUCGGGUUGUAAAGCUCUUUUGUCCGGAAAGAAAUCGCACUUACUAAUAUUAGGUGUGGAUGACGGUACCGGAAGAAUAAGGACCGGCUAACUACGUGCCAGCCGCCGCCGUAAAAC
rnacentral:rRNA from 1 species